rnacentral:rRNA from 1 species
UACGUAGGGUGCAAGCGUUGUCCGGAAUUAUUGGGCGUAAAGGGCUCGUAGGCGGUUUGUCGCGUCGGGAGUGAAAACCUUGGGCUUAACUCAGGGCUUGCUUUCGAUACGGGCAGACUAGAGGUAUGCAGGGGAGAACGGAAUUCCUGGUGUAGCGGUGAAAUGCGCAGAUAUCAGGAGGAACACCGGUGGCGAAGGCGGCAUCCUGGACCGGCAUUGACGCUGAGGAGCGAAAGCCAGGGGAGCAAACGGG